rnacentral:rRNA from 1 species
UGUGUAUCAGUACAUGGCAUAUCAAUAAGCGGAGGAAAAGAAACUAACUAGGAUUCCCUCAGUAACGGCGAGUGAAGCGGGAAGAGCUCAAAUUUGAAAUCUUCAAGGUUUUACCUUGACGAAUUGUAGUUUAAAGAAGUGUUUUCUGUUGGUGUUCUGGUAAAAGUUCUUUGGAAUAGGACAUCAUAGAGGGUGAGAAUCCCGUAUUUGACCAUUACUUCCAGCGUUGUGAUACACUUUCAAAGAGUCGGAUUGUUUGGGAAUGCAGUCCAAAAUGGGUGGUAAAUUUCAUCUAGAGCUAAAUAUUGGCGAGAGACCGAUAGCGAACAAGUACCGUGAGGGAAAGAUGAAAAGAACUUUGAAAAGAGAGUUAAACAGUACGUGAAAUUGUCAAAAGGGAAGCGUUUGACACCAGUGUCGUUUUCUCGAAAAUCAAUUAAAAAUGGUGGGAUUCUGUGUUGUAUUGACUUUAUCAGCUUUCUGCACUCUUUUUCCUAUCUUUUUUAAUGCACUUUUCGUUUAACAAGUCAACAUCAAUUUCUUUUGUUGUAAAAGAGUCAUUGGAAGGUGGCUUUCUUUUCGGAGAAAGUGUUUAUAGCCUUUGGCUUCUGCAAUCGGAGAGAUUGAGGUCUGCAGCGUAGAUCCUUCGGGGUUAGAUACAUUUGUGCUAAGUUAUAGCUUUCAUAGACAACUUGUUGACUAUGAUUAGUCAUUGUAGCUUACUCGCUUAUGCUAUUUUACCUACGCUUAGGAUGUUGACAGCAGUAUAGACUGU